rnacentral:rRNA from 1 species
GACGAACUGUGCAAACGUUAUUCGGAAUCACUGGGCUUAAAGGGUGCGUAGGCGGUCUAUUAAGUAGGGUGUGAAAUCCUCCGGCUCAACCGGAGAAUUGCGCCCUAAACUAGCAGGCUUGAGUGAGGCAGGGGUGUGUGGAACUUCCAGUGGAGCGGUGAAAUGUGUUGAUAUUGGAAGGAACGCCGGUGGCGAAAGCGACACACUGGGCCUUGUCUGACGCUGAGGCACGAAAGCCAGGGGAGCAAACGGG